AAUGAACGCUGGCGGCGCGCCUAAUACAUGCAAGUCGAGCGAGAAGACGUAGCAAUACGUUUGUAAAGCGGCGAACGGGUGAGGAAUACAUGGGUAACCUACCCUCGAGUGGGGAAUAACUAGCCGAAAGGUUAGCUAAUACCGCGUACGCUUCUUGGACUUCGGUUCAGGGAGGAAAGCGAUACCGUGGGUAUCGCGCUCUUGGAUGGGCUCAUGUCCUAUCAGCUUGUUGGUGAGGUAACGGCUCACCAAGGCUUCGACGGGUAGCUGGUCUGAGAGGACGAUCAGCCACACUGGCACUGCGACACGGGCCAGACUCCUACGGGAGGCAGCAGUAAGGAAUAUUGCGCAAUGGGCGAAAGCCUGACGCAGCGACGCCGCGUGGGGGAUGAAGGUCUUCGGAUUGUAAACCCCUUUCGGGUAGGGAAGAUGGGACGGGCGAACCGUUCGGACGGUACCUCCAGAAGCAGCCACGGC
rnacentral:rRNA from 1 species